GUCCACGCCGUAAACGAUGAAUGCUAGGUGUUAGGGGUUUCGAUACCCUUGGUGCCGAAGUUAACACAUUAAGCAUUCCGCCUGGGGAGUACGGUCGCAAGACUGAAACUCAAAGGAAUUGACGGGGACCCGCACAAGCAGUGGAGUAUGUGGUUUAAUUCGAAGCAACGCGAAGAACCUUACCAAGUCUUGACAUCCCUUUGACCAGACUAGAGAUAGUCUUUUCCUUCGGGACAAAGGAGACAGGUGGUGCAUGGUUGUCGU
rnacentral:rRNA from 1 species